AGGUUGGUGUGACCUUUGAGGACAUUGCCCUGUACUUCUCCAGGGAGGAAUGGAGCCUCCUUGAUGAGGGUCAGAGGCAUCUGUACCUGAAUGUGAUGCUGGAGAACUUUGAACUUGUAUCUUCCCUGGCACUCAUGGUCAGCAAACCGUAGCUUGCAAGCCACAUGCGGCUAUUUGGCCCC